UGCACCCUUUUCCUGAGCUAUGGCAGUCAGACCUGGCAGUGGUAACUACUCUACAGAACUCCCAAACCUGGCAAGGAUGGUGCAGAUUUUGGCAGAUUAUGGCUUUGUCCCCACCCAGCACUGAUGAUAUUAUAAAUUAGUUGUUUAGCCUUUGCUUUUGGUUUGUAAUAGAUAUUAUCACUCUGCUGCUUUCACAGUGUUUUUUUCAUUUCUAUUGAUUUUACAUGUAGUAUUUUUUGCCAUAGAUAGGUUUAGAUGGUAAAAUGUGUCAAUGAUUUCUUUAACAAGUUCUAGGUUUCCAGUUUAGCUUAAAAAAUCUUACUUAUCCUUUGAUAUUAUCAGGCAGUAUCCUACAUUUUCCAGGUUGUGCUUAAUUAUUCUCAAUUGAUCUCUUACAUCUUAAAAAAUUUAUCAUUUUUGUAUAUGGAAUAAGAUAAUAGGAUCUAAUUUUUUUGUCUUCUCAAUAGAUAGCCAGGUGUGCCAGUAGCAUUCUAAUUCUGUAAUUAGAAAGACCAAUUCUGUAAUUAGAAAGGCUAAUUCUGUAAUUAGAAAGACCACCUUUGUUAUAUAUUGAAUUUUUAAAUUUAUGCUGAAUAUAUUUCUGGGUUUUCUAUUCUGAAAACUAAACUAUUCAGAACUAUAAAUGUUAAACUAUUCAGAAAACAAAAUAUUGCUUACCUAUCUUUUGAAUCUUUCUCAUUUAUUAUUACUGUUAUGUUUUUCUGUCACCUACUUGUUCAGUUAUAAGAAGUGGUAACUACACUGGGCGUGGUGGCUCACACCUGUAAUCCCAGCACUUUGAGAGGCUGAGGUGGGCAGACUACUUGAACCUAGGAGUUUGAGACCAGCCUGGGCAACAUAGUGAGACCCCAUCUCUACAAAAAAAUACAAAAAUUAGCCAGAUGUUAUGGCACACACCUGUAGUCAAAGCUACUUAGGGGG
rnacentral:lncRNA from 10 species